AGAUCACAUCACUGUAUUCCAGCCUGGAUGACAGAGGGAAACUCUGUCUCAAAAAAAAAAAAAAAAAGAAAAGAACUUGUGCCCCUUACUCCUGCCACCUGGACACGUCCUCAAGUGCUUUCCCAUGAGAUAAAGCUGGUGGGAACCUCAUUCCCAUUUCACAGAUGAGAAGUGUGAGGUCUGGAGAGGAGCCGGGACUUGCCUAAGGUCACACAGCCAGGGAGGUGGAUGUUAGGGUCCCUGCCUCGGGUUUGGAGAAGCAUGGUGGACACAGAGCUAGUGGAUUUGAGAGGCAGGGGUGGUCCCCUAUUCACCUCUGUUGCUCCCCCAACUCCAGAGUGACAGAGCUGGGUGUGGCAGUGGAGCGUCUUCAGAAGCAAAAUCUGGAGAAGGAUCAGGUCAACAAGGACCUCACUGAGAAGCUUGAGGCCCUGGCCGUCCUGUGCUAUGUUGAGAGCGGCGUCCAGCUGAGCGUCUCCAAGUGUCUCGGAGCCGAGAGCCUGCCGGGGCUCUCGGGCCAGUGGACCCCGUCCCCACGACGGCGCUCCUAGCCAGGCCGAGGCCGUUCGCCCCGCCGAGGCCCCUCUCCCCGGCCUGCUCAGACUCCUCCAAACUCGCCCUGAUCCACUCCGCCCUGCACAAGUGCCAGCUGCAGGUCCAGAACAUGGGUGGGCGCUAUGAGGCAAGCCAGGUCUGGGCACCCUGCGGAAGCAGCUUAGCGACAGCGAGAGUGAGCGGCGGGCCCUAGAGGAACAACUGCAGCGCCUGCGGGAAAAGACCAACUGCGCCAUGCAGGCCCACGAGGACGCCCAGUGCGAGGUGCAGCGGCUGCCGAGUGCCAACGAGCUCUGAGCAGGGAGAAGAGCAACCUGGCUCACAGCCUGCAGGUGGCCCAGCAGCAGGCCGAGGAGCGGGAGAAGCUGCAGGCUGCCUAGGAGGAGCUGCAGCGCCAGCGGGACCGGCUGGAGGAAGAGCAGGAGGACGCGGUGCAGGAUGGCGCGCGGGUGCGCCGGGAGCUUGAGCGCAGGUGAGCAGCAUCUCGCCUGCCUGCCAGG